rnacentral:rRNA from 1 species
UGGUGGGAACUCAUAGGAGACUGCCGGGGUCAACUCGGAGGAAGGUGGGGAUGACGUCAAAUCAUCAUGCCCUUUAUGUCUUGGGCUUCACGCAUGCUACAAUGGUCGGUACAGAGGGUUGCGAUGCCGUGAGGUGGAGCGAAUCCCUUAAAGCCGGUCUCAGUUCGGAUCGUAGUCUGCAACUCGACUACGUGAAGUCGGAGUCGCUAGUAAUCGCAGAUCAGCAACGCUGCGGUGAAUACGUUCCCGGGCCUUGUACACACCGCCCGUCAAGUCACGAAAGUCGGUAACACCCGAAGCCGGUGGCCUAACCCUUGUGGGGGGAGCCGUCGAAGGUGGGACCGGUGAUUGGGACUAAGUCGUAACAAGGUAGCCGUACCGGAAGGUGCGGCUGGAUCACCUCCUUUCUAAGGAG